CCUGGCAGGGGCGGGGCCAGGCUACGGAGCGUGUGACGCCGCGGUCGCCGCGGAGCUGGGGAUUAAUGGGAAAAGUUUUGGCAGGAGCCGGAGGAUUCUGCGGAGCCUGCGGAACGGCUGCACUGUCGCGGGAGGCGGCCAGGACGGUGUUGCGUGGUGUUUUGGGCAUGCGUGUAGUAUUCACACAGUGGCUUCUGCUCACCAACAGAUGAAGACAGAUGCGCCAAGGAGGACUGUCAGAGCAAGAGGAGGACUGUACAAAGGAGUGAACACCAAGAGGAAUGAAUUCAUGGGGAGGGAAGGAGGCUUGUCUGGAGCAUCUCUUAUGCUAGGUAACUUGCCCGUAGAUGGCUACUUCUAGGAGGAAAGUGUGUCUUCUCACAGUCUCCCUGGAAACCACUGUUAGGAAAUUCCUGAUAGGUUGAUAGAGGACAUGGAAAGUGCACUCUUAUCGGGGGAGCCAUCAGUGGUUUUGGAACAAGAAAAGAAGGUGUUACUAUUUGCAAAAAGGUGAUUGAGUGCAGAGAAUUGAUGGUGGUGACUGAUGGCAGCAGAGAGAAGGGGUAGGAAACUGGUGUAAGGAAGCUCUGCCUCACGUUAGAUCCGAGUUCUCUCGCUGCAGUUACAUGCAUUGAUUUUGAUCUGUCAGUUACUCUGAUUGAAUACCCUCUAACCCCAACCCCAUUUAGUGCUGUUGAUACACAGGAGAGAUUAAUUAAAGGAUUUGCAAAAGGUAAAGUCAACUAAAUUUAGGUUUUUAUUUAUUUAUUUAUUUAGAAAGAUUUAUUUAUUUGAAAGGUAGAGUUACAGCAAGAGGGAGAAAGAGGUCGUGUGUUGGCCGGCGCCGCGGCUCACUAGGCUAAUCCUCCGCCUAGCGGCGCCGGCACACCGGGUUCUAGUCCCGGUCGGGGCGCCGGAUUCUGUCCCGGUUGCCCCUCUUCCAGACCAGCCCUCUGCUGUGGCCAGGGAGUGCAGUGGAGGAUGGCCGAGGUGCUUGGGUCCUGCACCCCAUGGGAGACCAGGAAAAGCACCUGGCUCCUGGCUCCUGCCAUCGGAUCAGCGCGGUGCGCCGGCCGCAGCGCGCCGGCUGCGGCGGCCAUUGGAGGGUGAACCAACGGCAAAGGAAGACCUUUCUCUCUGUCUCUCUCUCUCACUGUCCACUCUGCCUGUCAAAAAAAAAAAAAAAGAGGUCGUGUGGCUGGGGCUGAGCCAGGCUUAAACCAGGAGCCUUGUACUUGGGCCAUCCUCUGCUGCUUUCCCACAUGCAUUAGCAGGGAGCGGAGUUGGAAGUGGAGCAGCUGGGACAUGAACCAGUGCCCAUAUGGGAUGCUGGCAUUGCAAGUGGUGUCUUAACCUGGUAUGCUACAACACUGGCCCCUAAAUUUAGUUUUUAUUGUCAAGGCACAUAAAAAAUUAAGUAUAACUUGUUCAGAAAUGAAGAGCAGGAAAGAUAAAGUUUAUGUAACAGUACUGACCAUGUUUCACAUGGAGGAGGACGUGUUAGAGGUUGGUGGGGCUAGGGCCCCAGGGCAACAAGAAGGGAGGCAAGGCUGGCAAACAGCAAAGAGAAUUUGAAGGGGGACGGGGUUGGAGAAGCUGAGAGAAGGGUCUGUGCACGGCUCCUUCUGCACUUUGUGGGGGCCCUGGCUUCUGGGUUUCAGCCCCUCCUGCCCCUGCCUUCUCUCUGUAGCUCUUUGCUGUCUGUGGAGAGACCUGAGAGGAGUCGGCAGAGGGAAGACCUGGGUGUGACUCUCAGCUCUUGUGUUCACUGGCUGUUGAGAUGUGGGUUUGUGACUUAAUGUCCGAGCCUUCAUUUCUUCUCUGUAAUGAACCUCAGUGAAUGCCGUCUUGUCCCCUAUGUGUGGAGCUGGUGAGCUCAGGGGGCCGGCCUCUGUUCAGCAGCUCCUGGCACUCCGGGCAGUGGCCUGCUUCUCCUUACCAGCCCGGUCUUCGUCUUCACUGCCUAGCUCGUACCCAGCCUUGGAGUCACCUCAGCAGUGCUCCUGAGACCGCUGCUGAGUUCUCCCCAGUUCACCGGGACACAGGUUUGAGAGUUACCUCAAAAGAACAGGAGGUGGAAGGGAGGCUCCCAGGUAUUCCAGGAGAACCAGCUCGGGCUUCCGCUCCUUUCCGUAGCAUGGUUCUAAUAGGUGUCCAGAAAUGGAGUCCCACUGCUUUCAUUUGUGAUCUGCUCUAACCCUUUGAUCCUUAUCACUGCUUUUGGCACUUCCUCAUCGAAGAGUUGUGACCUCAGAGUUACUUGGCUGCUGCCCCACCGAAAGUACAAAGCCACUUGCUCUCCCAACUGGCAGAAUUCAUUGAACAGGCCGCCUCACAGACCCGCAGAACCCAGAGCUCUGCACACCAUCCCCUUUUCCAAACAAGCCAGUAAAGUGGGCUUGCCCUCAGUUUCCCUUAAUUGUCUAAACCAUAACUGCCGCACGUUGCAUUUCCUCUAGUACAGUCUCCUGGCCCAGCGCCACAGGUGUCCUGGGCAAGGUUGCUGUCUGUGUGUGGGUUUCUUGUGUAUUAUGAGAUACUUAGCAACAUCCUGGCUUCUGCCUACGUGAUGCCAGUAACGGUGAGACCCAGGAAUGUCUGCACGCAUUGCCGGAGGCCGCCAAGGCCCCAGACCCCACUUCUGUCCUUUCCCCACUGUGGAUGGCUGAUCUGGUGCCUGGAGUCCAGCAUUACUGGGCGGUUAUGGUGCUGUGAUCACAGCAGCCUGCCUCUCCCAGUCUGAUGGGUUCUGGAUCCCCCCCUCUGCCCCAGGCAGUGCUGGCGAGAGGAAGUUUAUCUGCUUUCCUGAUCCAGAGCUUGUUCACCAGGCCCAGAUCAUCUCUUUAUGGCUCCCUCACUUGUAGAUUCAGGACGGUGCAGAGCUCCAGCUGUGCGCCCCUCACCCCUCAGCACACAUCUGGAAUGUUCCUCUCCAGCAUUUCCGGGGUUCCGGCUGGAAAAGAGAAAACUACCCUUCUUUCCAAGGAAGCCCUUCAAGGCCCAGAGUGUUUAGUUCCGUCAAGUGAAUUCUUGACCACCUAUUUAAAUGGCAAGCAGUUUCAGCGAAAGACCCAGGCCUGGGCAUGCUACUGAGACUCUGGGUGUGACACUUACUUCACAUAAGGCAGGGAUCUGAGUGGUAUUUCUUCCAAACUCUUGGAGUUUGCUUCUUUGGUGGUGACCCAAACAGUAACCAGAGCCUCUGGAACCUAAGAAUGUUACGUUGUGUGACAAAGUGAGCUCUGAACAUAUGAUUAAGUUAAGAGUCUUUCGGGGGGUUAUCCUGGCUUAUCUGGGUGGACCCUAAAUGUAGUUACACAAGUGUCCUUCCUGGGGGGAGGACAGAGUGAGACUUGGCAAAGAAGGAGGCAGCACGGCUGCCCUACUGGCUUUGAAAACAGGGCAGAGGCCAAGAAAUGCAAGGGGUGCCCCUGUAGAAGCUCCUAGAGCCCCUGGAGGAAGUGUGGCCCUGUCUGUGUGCUGACUGUAGCAACUUAAAGCUGAUUUCAAAUCUCUCAUCUCUAGAGCUGUUAAGAGGGGAAGCAUGUUUUGCUUUAAGCAACUAAGUUUGGGAUGAUUUGUUAUAAUGUAACCACAAACUAUACAGAGCUUAUCUGCCACCAGAUUUAUUUAUUUAUCUGAAAGGCAGAGUUACAGAGAGACAGAUCUUCCAUCUGCUGGUUCACUCCCCUAAAAGGCCGCAGCAGCCAGAGCUGGGCCAGGCCGAGCCAGGAGCCAGGAACUCCAUCACGGUCUCCCACAGGGGAGCACUUGGGCCGUCCUUCGCUGCUUUCCUAGGCGCAUUAUCAGGGAGCUGGAUUGGAAAGUGGAGCAGCCAGGGCUUGAACUGGCACUCAUAUGGGAUACAUGUGGCAGGUUAACCCACUGUGCUACAAUACCAGCUCCCUUUUAAAAAUUUUUCAAUGUCUAUUUAUUUAUUUGAAUUGCAGAGUGAAAGAGAGGGAGCAACAUAGAGAAAUCUUCCAUCUGCAGGUUUUAUUCCCCGUUGGCUACAAUAACUGAGUCUCUGCCAGGCUGAAGCCACGAGGCAGGAUCUCUGCUGGUUUUCCUGUGUGAUGUCAGGGACCCAAGUACUUGGGCCAGUGUCCGCUGCCUUUCCAGGCACAUUAGCAGAAAGCUGGGUUGGAAGUGGAACAGCUGGGAUUUGAACUGGCUCUCCUGUGUGGGCCACUGGCGUUACAUGUGGCGGCUUAACCCGCUGAGCCACAGCACUGGCCCCUGAUGCUUGUUCUUAUUUUAAAGCAACCCUUUCAUGGGACUUGGAGAAUGUCUGCCCAGCCUCAGAUGUUUUCUAGUAUUUGAGACAUUCUGCACAUUGCGGGAACCCUUUGGGGAGGCCUUAGGAGCAAAAGAGAAGGGCUUGGUUGAUAUCUGAUCCCUGCUUUUGGAAUUCUCCCCACACCUUUAAUCAGGUUAGUAAUAAAGGAUUUCUUUCAGGCCAGGAUGAGUUACAGUCUGAUUCUCAUUCCAUUUUCCCCUCUGCUCCUCUUCCUUCCAUUCACUGAACAAAUAUUUAUUGAGUGCUUCCUGUUUGCUGGGUACUAUUCCUAGGCACUGGGGAUGAUGGAGUAAACCAAAUAAAAAUCUCCUCCCUAAUGGUGGCUGGAGUGAGGGGAGGGGAGGGAGCCAGAGUGAAGUCAGCCACAUGUCAGAUGGUGAUGAAUGCUAUGUAGAAAAAUAAGGCAGGAACAGAGGGGUGCUGGCAGUUUUAAACAGAUGGCCAGAGGAGGGCCUCACUGACGAGGUGGUAUUUAAGCUGGGAGGAGGAGGUUGAGCACUGUGGGAAGAACCUCACAGGCAGAGGGAAAGCGAACAGGGUGCUCCUUGCCCUGUGAUGGCGUUCUGUCCCGAGAGGCCCAUUGCAAGCUGCAAGUGCAUAGAUUGAAAACCCACGUCGUUCCUCCUAACCUGCCGAGCCUCGCAGUUGCCACACGGCACACUGCAGUGUCAGAGGUUUCCCCAUGGGGCUGCCGCCACCCAGCAUUGCCACGCGCGAACACGUCCAAAUCCAACACCCCAAGUCCUGUGUCUCCUCAGCGGGUGUUGCUCUCACACUCUCGUAAAUCUCAAGUCCCAGGUCGAACCCUCGUAAGACUGGGAGCGCCGGCGCUAAGGCUGUGAGGUGGAGCCAGCCGGUGUGUGUGAGGAGGCGGCCGCUGGCUGGAGCAGGCGGGGGGAGCAGAGGAGGAGGUGAAGUGGGAGAUGGGAUGGGCCCUGAAGUCCUGUAAAACCUCUUACUGCACUUGGCCCUUUGCCACUCCCCCUGCCUACCCCUCCUCAUGGCCCUCUCGGUUUUUGUGCCUGUGUCUCUCAUUUGUUCGCUGUGGACUCUGUCACGUCACAGCUAAGGAAUACCAGCAGAGAAACCUCGUCAAUCCCAGCUGUCAGAAGGGGGAAAACGAGCAGCUUCCUGUUUCUCAACUCUAAGAGCAGUUCCACCGGCAGUGUUGGUGCAGGGCUGACGCCGGGAAGCGCAGGUUGGCUGGCGUGCUGGUUUCUGGGGAUCUUCACUUCCGUCACCCACCGCAGCCCCAUGAGGAAGUCCAGGCCCUGAGCCACCUCCUUCUCCACCUCCCAUCCCUCCCAUCCCACCCAGUGCAGGGCCCAUGGGUGCCCACCUGAAAUGCUGUCCUAGCCCCUUGCCUAUGGGACAGCACCAGGGUCUGCCUUCU